rnacentral:rRNA from 1 species
AAUACCAUGCAGUCGACGGUGAAGCGGAGCUUGCUCUGCUGGAUCAGUGGCGAACGGGUGAGUAACACGUGAGCAAUCUGCCCCUGACUCUGGGAUAAGCGCUGGAAACGGCGUCUAAUACCGGAUACGAGCUGCGAAGGCAUCUUCAGCAGCUGGAAAGAAUUUCGGUCAGGGAUGAGCUCGCGGCCUAUCAGCUUGUUGGUGAGGUAACGGCUCACCAAGGCGUCGACGGGUAGCCGGCCUGAGAGGGUGACCGGCCACACUGGGACUGAGACACGGCCCAGACUCCUACGGGAGGCAGCAGUGGGGAAUAUUGCACAAUGGGCGAAAGCCUGAUGCAGCAACGCCGCGUGAGGGACGACGGCCUUCGGGUUGUAAACCUCUUUUAGCAGGGAAGAAGCGAAAGUGACGGUACCUGCAGAAAAAGCGCCGGCUAACUACGUGCCAGCAGCCGCGGUAAUACGUAGGGCGCAAGCGUUAUCCGGAAUUAUUGGGCGUAAAGAGCUCGUAGGCGGUUUGUCGCGUCUGCUGUGAAAACCCGAGGCUCAACCUCGGGCCUGCAGUGGGUACGGGCAGACUAGAGUGCGGUAGGGGAGAUUGGAAUUCCUGGUGUAGCGGUGGAAUGCGCAGAUAUCAGGAGGAACACCGAUGGCGAAGGCAGAUCUCUGGGCCGUAACUGACGCUGAGGAGCGAAAGGGUGGGGAGCAAACAGGCUUAGAUACCCUGGUAGUCCACCCCGUAAACGUUGGGAACUAGUUGUGGGGACCAUUCCACGGUUUCCGUGACGCAGCUAACGCAUUAAGUUCCCCGCCUGGGGAGUACGGCCGCAAGGCUAAACUCAAAGGAAUUGACGGGGACCCGCACAAGCGGCGGAGCAUGCGGAUUAAUUCGAUGCAACGCGAAGAACCUUACCAGGCUUGACAUAUACGAAGAACGG